GACGAACGCUGGCGGCGUGCUUAACACAUGCAAGUCGAACGGAAAGGCCCUGCUUUUGUGGGGUGCUCGAGUGGCGAACGGGUGAGUAACACGUGAGUAACCUGCCCUUGACUUUGGGAUAACUUCAGGAAACUGGGGCUAAUACCGGAUAGGAGCUCCUGCUGCAUGGUGGGGGUUGGAAAGUUUCGGCGGUUGGGGAUGGACUCGCGGCUUAUCAGCUUGUUGGUGGGGUAGUGGCUUACCAAGGCUUUGACGGGUAGCCGGCCUGAGAGGGUGACCGGCCACAUUGGGACUGAGAUACGGCCCAGACUCCUACGGGAGGCAGCAGUGGGGAAUAUUGCACAAUGGGCGGAAGCCUGAUGCAGCAACGCCGCGUGCGGGAUGACGGCCUUCGGGGUGUAAACCGCUUUCGCCUGACGAAGCGUGAGUGACGGUAAUGGGUAAAGAAGCACCGGCUAACUACGUG
rnacentral:rRNA from 1 species